GUCUAUGGCCAUGCUACCCUAACAAGUCUGAUCCCAUCUGAUCUGGAAAGCUAAGCAGGACUGAGCCUGGUUAGUACUUGGAUGGGAGACCACGUUGGAAAACCAGGUGCUGUAGGCG
rnacentral:rRNA from 1 species